CGACACGUCUGCCCUUUGUUCUUCUCCCUUCUCACCAGUUGUUCCUCCUAGUCCCCGCCGCCCCAAUCUCAUCACAAAAUUUACGAUCUCCCGUCGCCGGGGAUCUCAAGUACUCUAGACCGUAGGAACGUCCUCCCUGCUAUCUCCUCUGCCCAGUCCGCAGUCCUCCCAGAUUGAUGCGCAUCCGCUGGCGGAAACGCAGCAGCCGCCUAACCCUAGAUCGGUGAUCACCGGACGAAGUACCUGCUCCCGCGGCCACCUUCCUCGAGUUGUCAUUUGCCAGAGACAGGUCCAUGUUCGAGGGUGCCUACUCUAUCGGAGGAGUCCGUGCCACAGUUCAUUGUGCUAGGUUGGGAGGUAAGUCCUCGUUCUUGACAGGUUUAACGGAGCUUGUUCCCUUUCUCCUCUCUAAUUCAUGCGUGCUCUUUUAUCAGUAUUUCUGCUUUCAUACCUUUUUUAUUUCCUUCUCUAUAGCGGAACAGAGAAGACGCACAAGAUGGAGCCUGGAUAAUGGGUUGACGAUGGGCAGGCACUCCUGUGACUGUUCUGAGGUGUUGUCUGCUGAUGAGGAUCUGCAAAUUGCUGCAGGUGCGCAGUGUCACUAAUAAGCAGUUGGGCAGAUCUCUCAUCGUCCAGGUUUUUUUUUUGUUCCUGGUAUUUAUGGAACUGUGUGUUUUUCUUAAAACAUCAGAUGCCAAUCCUUAUGAAUCAGAUGAUCCUUAUUAUUUAACUUCUUCACCUUCGUUGUCACUUAAAUAAGGAAGCCCUUAAGAAUUAAGAUGCUGUUUUUUAAGUUUUAAAUUAUGGUAACGAUCAGCAAUACUAAUAUCGAUGAUUAGCGUACAACGAGUUCUGUUGUUCAAUUAUGAAUGCUGAAUUAUCAGUAUAAGAAAUGUUUGUAUGCUACUUUUCAAUUUUUUCCAGCUUAAUCUCUAAGGGUAGGAGUAUACAUGUUCCUAUUAUAUUGAAGUUUGAUACUACAUAAUAUCAACUGCAUCUUAUAUUUAGAUUACCUUUUACUACUACAUGUUAUACAGAAUAAAAACCUGUCUGCUACGUACUUUGAUACAAAAAAAAUUGGCCUUACUACAUUGUGUAGAAUAAAUGCUGCAUGGGCACAAGAUGUCAGGCACCCAUCAGCGUUCAACUGAUGAUAACGAUGGUUUGUUACAUGCAUGUGUUCUAUUUCUUUUCUGGACAGAUCUAUGUCUUAUAUUUCCAGUGCUCCAUUCUUUAUAUAGUUUUGAUUUAGCAGCUCUAGUAUUUCUGGGUAUGUGAAGCUCUUUGUGAUCUUUUCAAACGGAAUUUAAUGUGGACAUAUAUAACUACAAUGCAUUCCCAUUGGUUUAGAGUCAGGAUUGUUUAAUUACAAGCUUGGGGGAACGGUUGACCACUAGUGCAUAUAUUAUUGGAUUUGUAUUUCUGGUACCUACAUGUCAUCUGCACUGCUCUAUAUCUUCGGAUAUUCUAUGACUCAGAAAGGAGAAAUGGAUGCUGAAAGAGAACAGUUUUCCAAAUGGAUUUCUGGCAAGUUUUCCAUUUCUGAAGUUAAUACGUACUAUCAUUAGUUUGUCUCUACUUCUUGGUUCUCUCUGUUUAGUGCAAGUAAUAGUAAAAUUCACUAUACCCGUAUAGCUUACCACUAUUAUACUGAAAUAACAAAUUUGUUUAUUGCAGGACCAAAUGAUCAGCAAGGACUUUAUUCAGUUAUAUGCUCUGCACAUAUAAAGGCAGAAUAUUAGUAGGAUUACAUAGAGUAGUUAGAUCGUCAUUUUGAAUCAAGAUUGUAACCAGUGUAAUCUUUGAAUAAUUUCCAUGUAUUGUGAUAGUCAUUCAAAGUGCAGAAUCAAGAUUGUAUGUUGUCUGUAAUUUAUGUAUUUUUACAAUGAUAUAUAUAAUAUGCACUGGAUUAU